GAUGAACGCUGGCGGCGUGCCUAAUACAUGCAAGUCGAGCGAACAGACGAGGAGCUUGCUCCUCCGACGUUAGCGGCGGACGGGUGAGUAACACGUGGAUAACCUACCUAUAAGACUGGGAUAACUUCGGGAAACCGGAGCUAAUACCGGAUAAUAUAUUGAACCGCAUGGUUCAAUAGUGAAAGACGGUUUUGCUGUCACUUAUAGAUGGAUCCGCGCCGCAUUAGCUAGUUGGUAAGGUAACGGCUUACCAAGGCGACGAUGCGUAGCCGACCUGAGAGGGUGAUCGGCCACACUGGAACUGAGACACGGUCCAGACUCCUACGGGAGGCAGCAGUAGGGAAUCUUCCGCAAUGGGCGAAAGCCUGACGGAGCAACGCCGCGUGAGUGAUGAAGGUCUUCGGAUCGUAAAACUCUGUUAUUAGGGAAGAAAAAAUGUGUAAGUAACUAUGCACGUCUUGACGGUACCUAAUCAGAAAGCCACGGCUAACUACGUG
rnacentral:rRNA from 1 species